UUGAACGCUGGCGGCAUGCUUUACACAUGCAAGUCGAACGGCAGCACGGGUGCUUGCCCUGGUGGCGAGUGGCGGACGGGUGAGUAAUGCAUCGGAACGUAUCCUUAAGUGGGGGAUAACGCAUCGAAAGAUGUGCUAAUACCGCAUAAUCUCUAUGGAGAAAAGCAGGGGCUCGUAAGACCUUGUGCUUUUGGAGCGGCCGAUGCCUGAUUAGCUAGUUGGUAGGGUAAAGGCCUACCAAGGCUUCGAUCAGUAGUUGGUCUGAGAGGACGACCAGCCACACUGGGACUGAGACACGGCCCAGACUCCUACGGGAGGCAGCAGUGGGGAAUUUUGGACAAUGGGGGCAACCCUGAUCCAGCCAUGCCGCGUGAGUGAAGAAGGCCUUCGGGUUGUAAAGCUCUUUCAGUCGGGAAGAAAAGGUUGAGACCAAUAAUCUCAACUCAUGACGGUACCGACAGAAGAAGCACCGGCUAACUACGUGC
rnacentral:rRNA from 1 species